UUGAAGAUUGUCUUGUUCUUGCUACAACAUGAUCUGGUUUUGUUAUUUCUCUCUGAUUAAUCUUGUGUGCUUCUUAGUAAUUGUGUAUUUAUUUACAGGAAGGUGUGCUUUCAGAUUCCUGCAUUGUUAAUUGGGAAAGUGGUGGUUGUGAUUUCACCCUUGAUAAGCUUGAUGCAAGACCAGUGCUGGAAGCUAACAAAAUCUCUUGAGUGCUUCACUUUUCCUUAACUCGUUUUAGUUAUGCCUGCUAAAGCAACUCUGUUUGACAAGAACUGCAAUCCUCUACUGGAGCUUGGAACUGGUCCUUACAAUACUAUUCGAUGGAAUCCAAAGGGAAGAUUUUUAUGUUUGGCUGGCUUUGGUAACUUACCUGGUGAUAUGUAUGUUCUCCUGACUGAUCGAAUCAUUAUGCUUUCUUUUAACAUUCUGUUUUGGUGGAAGGAAUUUGGUGCUUGAUUCCCUUAUCUAGAACUACUAAGUGCAUGUUUGAACUUUGAAUUUGAAUACACAGUGGAAACAGGGAGCCAAAAUCACGGUUGACAGAAGCAAACCUCC